UACGGAGGGUGCGAGCGUUGUCCGGAAUCAUUGGGCGUAAAGCGCGCGCAGGCGGCCGUUUAAGUCUGAUGUUUAAGCCCGGGGCUCAACCCCGGUUCGCACUGGAAACUGGGCGGCUUGAGUGCAGGAGAGGAAAGCGGAAUUCCACGUGUAGCGGUGAAAUGCGUAGAUAUGUGGAGGAACACCAGUGGCGAAGGCGGCUUUCUGGCCUGUAACUGACGCUGAGGCGCGAAAGCGUGGGGAGCAAACAGG
rnacentral:rRNA from 1 species